rnacentral:rRNA from 1 species
UACUGGAGACAGGUGCUGCAUGGCUGUCGUCAGCUCGUGUCGUGAGAUGUUGGGUUAAGUCCCGCAACGAGCGCAACCCUUGCCUUUAGUUGCCAGCAGUUCGGCUGGGCACUCUAAAGGGACUGCCGGUGUUAAACCGGAGGAAGGUGGGGAUGACGUCAAGUCAUCAUGCCCCUUAUGUCCAGGGCUUCACACAUGCUACAAUGGCCAGUACAGAGGGCUGCGAGACCGUGAGGUGGAGCGAAUCCCUUAAAGCUGGUCUCAGUUCGGAUCGGGGUCUGCAACUCGACCCCGUGAAGUCGGAGUCGCUAGUAAUCGCAGAUCAGCAACGCUGCGGUGAAUACGUUCCCGGGCCUU